UACGAAGGGGGCUAGCGUUGCUCGGAAUCACUGGGCGUAAAGCGCACGUAGGCGGCUCUUUAAGUCAGGGGUGAAAUCCUGGAGCUCAACUCCAGAACUGCCUUUGAUACUGAGGAGCUUGAGUCCGGGAGAGGUGAGUGGAACUGCGAGUGUAGAGGUGAAAUUCGUAGAUAUUCGCAAGAACACCAGUGGCGAAGGCGGCUCACUGGCCCGGUACUGACGCUGAGGUGCGAAAGCGUGGGGAGCAAACAGG
rnacentral:rRNA from 1 species